AUGGCUGAGAUUGCUGAUGAAGAUAGUUCCACCGGCAUUGAUUUGAUUUGUGCUUUGUGUGAUAAUGGUGGUGAAAUCGCAAGCUGUGAAGGCAAGUGCCUGCGGUCAUUUCAUGCAACAAAAGAUGCUAGUGAAGACUGCAAAACAUUGGGCUAUACUAGGAAUCAGUUUGAUGCGAUGAAAGUUUUUCUGUGCAAGAAUUGUGAACAUGAAAGAUAUCAAUGUUUUGCCUGUCACAGGUUGAGUUCAGCGAAAACAGAUCCUCCUGAGGUAUUUCCUUGUGCUUCAGCAAGUUGUGGGCACUUUUAUCAUGCUAAAUGUGUUGCACAAUUGCUCUUCCCUGAAAAUGAAGCAAAAGCAACUGAGUACACGACAAGGAUAAUCAAUGGGGCGAAAUUUGCAUGCCCAGUCCACAAAUGUGAUGUUUGUAAAUAUGGCGAAAACAAGGAGGUUAAGGAGCUGCAAUUUGCUGUUUGCCGACGGUGCCCAAAGUCAUAUCAUCGAAGAUGUCUGCCAAGGAAAAUCGUCUUUGAUGACGUAAUUGAGAAUGGUGUGUGCCUUUUCCAAAGGGCAUGGGACGGUCUUCUGCCAAAGAAUCGCAUCUUAAUAUAUUGCCUCAAGCACAAUAUUGAUCCAAAACUUCGAACUCCUCUAAGAGAUCAUAUUAAGUUUCCUGAUGAUCCUAUCACUAAAAAAUCAUCCAAUGUGAAUGGAUUGAGAAGGGUUAAGAUACGACGCCUUGAUGACUGCCUCCCUGUCCCAUCAUCCAGUAGCAAAAGACCCCUCGGUACAUCAACUUGUUCUUCCUCCAUCAAUUCGACAGCGAAAAGGAAGAAAGAACAUCUGCCUGGAGGUACUAAACAUCCCAGUAUGCAAAAAUCAGUCAUGUCAGUGAUCCCCAUUAGCACAUUCCCUGAGAUUGACAUAAACACGGCGACGAGGAUUUAUGACUUUGCACAGAAAGCAUCAUCAAAUAUAACUAUUGAGGAUGUACAGAAACAGCUAGUGGUUUCGUCUACUUACACAUCAUUUAUGAAGAAUACUGAUAAAGUUACAUUGGGAAAGGUGGAAAGAUCUGUCGAGGCUGUUAAGACUGCGGUUCAUAUGUUAGAAAGUGGUGCGGAUAUAGAAGAGGCCAAAGAUGUAUGCUCACCAUAUGACCUUUUCCAACUUGCAAAAUGGAAGAACAAACUGAAUAUAUAUCUUGCCCCGUUUCUUCAUGGCACGCGCUAUACAUCUUAUGGGCGGCAUUUUACAAAACUGGACAAGCUCGAGAAGAUUGUAGAUAAGUUACAAUGGUAUGUUCAAAGUGGUGAUACGGUCGUUGACUUCUGCUGUGGUUCAAAUGAUUUUAGCACAUUAUUGAAGGAAAAGCUUGAAGCUUCUGAAAAGAAUUGCUUCUAUAAAAAUUAUGAUCUCAUCCAGCCAAAGAAUGAUUUCAAUUUUGAGAGGAGAGACUGGAUGACUGUUCAACCAGAUGAAUUGCCAGCCGGAUCCCGAUUGAUCAUGGGGCUGAAUCCCCCUUUUGGGUUUAAAGCUUCACUUGCAAACCAGUUCAUCAACAAAGCCCUAACUUUCAAGCCAAAGCUGAUAAUUCUUAUUGUUCCCAAGGAAACAGAAAGGUUGGAUAAAAAAUACCCACCUUAUGAGCUAAUAUGGGAGGAUUCUAAUCAGCUCGCAGGAAAGUCGUUCUAUUUGCCUGGAUCGUUUGAUGCUGAUAAUAAGCAGAUGGAUCAGUGGAAUCUAUCACCUCCUCCUCUUUCUCUGUGGAGCCGUAGUGAUUUUGCUCAGAAACAUAAUGAGAUUGCUAAAUCAAAGGGGCACCUCUGCAGCAGAAGACCGAGCUAUAAUGAUUCACAAAGGGACAUCGCAGGCAAUGCAUAUAUGAGCACCAGCGAUUUGGAAAUGGGCAGUGAGGGUGAGGCGUGCAUCCCUGACGAAGAAAUGCAAGGAGAGCGACAAGCAGAAGCCUCCGUUAUAGACCAGUUGUUGGCUGACACAUACCAUGAUACCACUAGUUCUCCAGGUGACUACUGGACUGAUACCAACGGCCGAUCAGGGCAACCUCGCAACUAUGAUACUCCAGGUGGAAAUGACCCUCCAACCCAUGAGUAUUUUGCAGUCAGGGCAGCUGAAUCUGACAUGAGCAUUUCGUUGUCCGGCAGAAGUGCUUCUCGGAAUCAAAACCAAACUGUGUCAACCUCUGAUCAUGAGCCUAACAACGAUCAUAUUGCAAGCGUAUCUGCCAAGCAACCAACCGAUCCUGCUGAUUGUGACGAGGUAACAUCAGCUGAUGCCCAGCAUGGGCUGGGAGACCCACCGUCUGCACCAGAAAAUGCAGCUGGAGUUCAAUACCGAAUCCUGGAAGACUCCCCACCUGAGGAAGGACAGCUGGGAGACCCACCGUCUGCACCAGAAAAUGCAGCUGGAGUUCAAUACCGAAUCCUGGAAGACUCCCCACCUGAGGAAGGACAGCUGACACCUGAGGAAGCACAGCCGAAUGAUUUGUCGUCUACAGAUGGAAAUGCAGCUGGUGUGCCGAUGCUGGAGGAGUCGCCACUUGAAACAGAUGCUCCAGUGGGUGCAGCGAAUCUGCCACUAGCGCAUACCUUCCCGGGGCUGCAGUUUGCAAGCGCUCCCACGUGGCCUGGAUGCUACGCUGCUCGUGAAGUUCUGUCGCGAGGCAUGGGCUACCCGACCUUCCAUCAGGAAGCCUCCUACAACUUGCUUGAGAAGUAA
rnacentral:rRNA from 1 species